UACGUAGGGUGCAAGCGUUAAUCGGAAUUACUGGGCGUAAAGCGUGCGCAGGCGGUUUUGUAAGUCUGUCGUGAAAUCCCCGGGCUCAACCUGGGAAUUGCGAUGGAGACUGCAAGGCUAGAAUCUGGCAGAGGGGGGUAGAAUUCCACGUGUAGCAGUGAAAUGCGUAGAGAUGUGGAGGAACACCGAUGGCGAAGGCAGCCCCCCUGGGUCAAGAUUGACGCUCAUGCACGAAAGGCGUGGGGAGCAAACAGG
rnacentral:rRNA from 1 species